rnacentral:tRNA from 2 species
GCCUUCGUAGCUCAGAGGAAGAGCGCCCGCCUGUCGAGCGGGAGGCCGGGAUUUCGAAACUCCUCGGAGGCG